GACGGGGCCGCACAGCGGAGGACAUGUGGUUUAAUUCGAUGAUACGCGAGGAACCUUACCUGGCUUAAAUGUAGAGUGCAUUUUUUAGAGAUAGAAAUUCCUUCGGGGCUUUCUGCAAGGUGCUGCAUGGUUGUCGUCAGCUCGUGCCGUGAGGUGUCGGGUUAAGUCCCAUAACGAGCGCAACCCUUAUCGUUAGUUGCCAUCUGGUAAUGCAGGGGACUCUAGCGAAACUGCCACCGUAAGGUGAGAGGAAGGUGGGGAUGACGUCAAAUCAGCACGGCCCUUAUGUCCAGGGCUACACACGUGUUACAAUGGUCGGUACAGAGGGCAGCUACCUGGUGACAGGAUGCUAAUCUCGAAAACCGGUCUCAGUUCGGAUCGAAGUCUGCAACUCGACUUCGUGAAGCUGGAUUCGCUAGUAAUCGCGCAUCAGCUAUGGCGCGGUGAAUACGUUCCCGGGCCUU
rnacentral:rRNA from 1 species